CUUAACAACGUGAAGAACUGUGGGUUUUUUGUUUGUUUAUUUUUUGUUUUCCCUUUACUUAACAUCUUCUCCGUGGUACAGAGCUUCCGCAGUGUAUGAAUAUUAUCCUGUUUGCAUGCAUGGCACCCAGUGUCUUUUAUGAAGUAGCCACAGCUCCAGACCAGGUCCUUAAACAGUGCAGUGGUCAUAUUUCUUGCAUGGUGGGUCGCUGAAGAUGCCUCAGAUGGUCCCUAGGAUCUCCGCUCCUCCUGUGACCUCUCUGGCUGUAUCCUGUUUCAAGCCAACCUCAGAUGCCAAUACUAGAUGGCAGGCCACCAUGAUGCGGGCAGUGGAAUAGCAGGACGUUUGCUGGAGCACCCAGUUUUAAGCGUGCGACUCAGGAGCAAGUCUGUUUACACUGCUGUAGAUAGCUGGCCCUUUAUCUUAAUCUUACAAAACUGAAACCCCAAGUCCAGCAAACUCUCUCCUGUUCCGAGCAACCGAGGUUCUGCUUCUGUCUCUAGAAAUCCGACUAAUCCAGGCAGCAGAUACAAACAUAACAGCACAGCGUUGUCCCCCCCCCCCCCCCCGACUGCUUAUUGCAUCCAGCGUAAGGUCCUCAAGGUUCAUCCAUACUGGGCCACACGUCCGAUUUUCUUCCCUUUAAAGGCUGAAUUCCAUUAUGUACCUAUGUCCCAUUUUCUCAUUCACUCUUCCUUGUGUCUUUGUUUGUUUGUUUGUCUCUAAAUGGUUGUUUACAUAGCAUGAACACGGAGGCACGCACGUUUUUUUUUUUUUUUUUUUUUUUUGACUCCCCGCGGUCAGUCCUCUUGGAUGUGCCCUCAGGAGUGGAAUAUGAGAAUUCUAUUUUUAAGUUUUGAGGAGCUGCCACACUGCUUUUCACGGCAGCUGUGUUCCCUUUAUAUCCCCGACAGCCAGGCGCACAGGCUUCCGUUUCCCCGCCUCCCUGCCAGGGCAUGUGAUUUCCUCCCGUGUGCGAGAUGGUAUUUCCUUAGGCCCUCGAUUUGCAUUCCCCUGUGAAGUCAUGCUUUGAACACUUGAAACAGAGACUGGAGACUGCAAGUCUGGCCACUUGGGCCGAUGGAAGAUGGACACAGACGUGGUAUUGACAGAAUUAUUUCUGAAGUGCUCCAGCGGCGUUUCACUGGCUCAUCCCGACCACUUGACUGACGUAAUGGCCGGGGAGGAGUUAAUGGCGACUGUGACCCUUGAGCUACUGCUUGGAGACAUGCUCUCUGAUGUGGAGAUGGCCCUGGUAGCUGGCUGUAAAGUCAGGGUUGUGUAGCUUUGUUAUGGGAAUGGAGACUAAAUUGUAGGUCAAUCCAGGAGAGUAAAUAUUAGAGGAACUUUCCAGUGAACCCUAAA